rnacentral:rRNA from 1 species
GAUGAACGCUGGCGGCGUGCCUAAUACAUGCAAGUCGAGCGAACGGACGAGAAGCUUGCUUCUCUGAUGUUAGCGGCGGACGGGUGAGUAACACGUGGAUAACCUACCUAUAAGACUGGGAUAACUUCGGGAAACCGGAGCUAAUACCGGAUGAUAUUUUGAACCGCAUGGUUCAAAAGUGAAAGACGGUCUUGCUGUCACUUAUAGAUGGAUCCGCGCUGCAUUAGCUAGUUGGUAAGGUAACGGCUUACCAAGGCAACGAUGCAUAGCCGACCUGAGAGGGUGAUCGGCCACACUGGAACUGAGACACGGUCCAGACUCCUACGGGAGGCAGCAGUAGGGAAUCUUCCACAAUGGGCGAAAGCCUGACGGAGCAACGCCGCGUGAGUGAUGAAGGUCUUCGGAUCGUAAAACUCUGUUAUUAGGGAAGAACAUAUGUGUAAGUAACUGUGCACAUCUUGACGGUACCUAAUCAGAAGGCCACGGCUAACUACGUG